GGGGGUGACUUGGUUUCGACAGGAGCAGAUAGGUCACGGUGGCAUGUCGCUGCGGAAUCAGCGUAAAAAUUCCAAACUAAAUUUAAACGCAAAUAACGCGAAAUUCGCUCCUGCUUACGCUAAAAUAGCGUAAGUUCAGUUGAGCCUUGCUGCUGCUGAUGCUGUUUAGGUAGCGUGCGAGUAAUUUAAACAGCUUGGUUUUGCGCUUUGGCUAAGUGCAAACUGAAAUUUUUGCCUUUGCUUGCAAAUUUUACUUUGGAAAGCAAGUAAUUUGUAAGCGAGAUUUUUCGCUUUCACUAAACAUGUAGAGGCUUUGGUCAUUUGUUUUUGGACUGCGGUUCAAUCCCGCACACCUCCACCA
rnacentral:tmRNA from 2 species